GACGAACGCUGGCGGCGUGCCUAAUACAUGCAAGUUGAGCGCUGAAGGUUGGUACUUGUACGAACUGGAUGAGCAGCGAACGGGUGAGUAACGCGUGGGGAAUCUGCCUUUGAGCGGGGGACAACAUUUGGAAACGAAUGCUAAUACCGCAUAAAAACUUUAAACACAAGUUAUAAGUUUGAAAGAUGCAAUUGCAUCACUCAAAGAUGAUCCCGCGUUGUAUUAGCUAGUUGGUGAGGUAAAGGCUCACCAAGGCGAUGAUACAUAGCCGACCUGAGAGGGUGAUCGGCCACAUUGGGACUGAGACACGGCCCAAACUCCUACGGGAGGCAGCAGUAGGGAAUCUUCGGCAAUGGACGAAAGUCUGACCGAGCAACGCCGCGUGAGUGAAGAAGGUUUUCAGAUCGUAAAACUCUGUUGGUAGAGAAGAACGUUGGUGAGAGUGGAAAGCUCAUCAAGUGACGGUAACUACCCAGAAAGGGACGGCUAACUACGUGCCAGCCGCCGCAGUAAGAC
rnacentral:rRNA from 1 species